rnacentral:tRNA from 3 species
GGCCGGAAUAGCUCAGU